rnacentral:rRNA from 1 species
GACGAACGCUGGCGGCGUGCUUAACACAUGCAAGUCGAACGGAAAGGCCCUGCUUUUGUGGGGUGCUCGAGUGGCGAACGGGUGAGUAACACGUGAGUAACCUGCCCUUGACUUUGGGAUAACUUCAGGAAACUGGGGCUCAUACCGGAUAGGAGCUCCUGCUGCAUGGUGGGGGUUGGAAAGUUUCGGCGGUUGGGGAUGGACUCGCGGCUUAUCAGCUUGUUGGUGGGGUAGUGGCUUACCAAGGCUUUGACGGGUAGCCGGCCUGAGAGGGUGACCGGCCACAUUGGGACUAAGAUACGGCCCAGACUCCUACGGGAGGCAGCAGUGGGGAAUAUUGCACAAUGGGCGGAAGCCUGAGGCAGCAACGCCGCGUGCGGGAUGACGGCCUUCGGGUUGUAAACCGCUUUCGCCUGUGACGAAGCGUGAGUGACGGUAAUGGGUAAAGAAGCACCGGCUAACUACGUG